UCUUAAAUCAGUUCAUUUAGUUCUCAACAAGCUUCAGGUAAGCAAGAGGAAAAAACCAGAGAAAAGAAAGCAUCGAAAUCGUCUAAACCAAUUCAAAAAUUUCACAAAGGCAAUAAAGUUCAUUUGGAUAUACCAAUCAGGUUAGUCAUUCAUCAAGUAAUCUUAAACAAAAUGUAUUAUUUAAUCACUAUUUACCCUCAGGA
rnacentral:lncRNA from 1 species